UGUAAAUGUAAAAUUUUUAAACCAGGGUAGUAAUAGUUAAGUUCUUGAAACCCAAAGAAUUUGGCGGUAUUUUAGUCCUUUCAGAGGAAUCUGUCCCAUAAUCGACAGUCCACGAGAGAAUUUACUUAUUCUUGUAUUUCAGUUUGUAUACCUCCGUCAUAAGAAGAUCUUUUUAGAGAUGGAAUUUUCUUGAUAUAUAAAUUAUAAGAUGUCAGGUCAAGGUGCAAUUUAUGAAUAAGAGGAGAUGGAUUACAAUAAAUUUAUUUACACGGAUUAAAUUAUUUGAUUUUUUUAUGAAGGUGGAUUUGAUAGUAAUUUUGAUUAUUUGUUAUCAUGAUUUUGGCUCUAAAAUAUGC
rnacentral:rRNA from 1 species